rnacentral:rRNA from 1 species
CCCGAAUUAAUACCGCAUACACCCUAAGGGGGAAAGAGGGCCUAUCCUUGGAAGCUCUCGCUGUUAGAUGAGCCUGCGUGAGAUUAGUUUGUUGGUGGGGUAAUGGCCUACCAAGACUACGAUCUCUAGCUGGUCUGAGAGGACGAUCAGCCACACUGGGACUGAGACACGGCCCAGACUCCUACGGGAGGCAGCAGUAGGGAAUAUUGGACAAUGGGGGCAACCCUGAUCCAGCUAUGCCGCGUGUGUGAAGAAGGCUCUAGGGUUGUAAAGCACUUUAGGUAAGGACGAAAAGAAUAUAG